AUGGUCUAGCUAGUAAAAUUAAGCAAAAAGAACUUUAGUUUAACCCCCCGAAACUAGGUGAGCUACUUCAAAACAGCUUAGAGCUAACCCAUCUCUGUUGCAAUAGAGUGGGGUGAUUUUCAAGUAGAGGUGAUAAACCUACCGCACCAAGAGAUAGCUGGUUGCUCAAAAAAAGAAUUUAAGUUCAACCUUAAGUUUUAAAACUUAAGAGCCAUUCAAAUAAGGCACAGCUUAUUUGAAAUAGGAAACAACCUAAAAGAUUGGGUAAUCAUAAGUGGGCCUAAAAACAGCCAUCUUUAAAAAACGUUAAAGUUUAAUACCACGAUUCUUAAAGAACCCAUAAACCUUAUUGAGUAAUUCUAUAUAAUAUAGAAAGUUUUAUGCUAGAACUAGUAACAAGAAACUUCUCAAAAAUGUAAGCUUAAGCCACUCUAGACAACCUACCGGCAAUUAACGCGGAUGAACCAAUUUUAACAACAAGAAAACCUUAAAAACAUUACGUCAACCUUACACUAGAACAUUUUUUGAAAGAUUAAAAGAAAGAGAAGGAACUCGGCAAAUUUUAACCCCGCCUGUUUAC
rnacentral:rRNA from 1 species